rnacentral:lncRNA from 1 species
UUUCUUUUUUUUGCGAAAGGAAUAUAAUGUAGGAUAAUCGUAGAAGGUACUUAGCCACUGCUCGAGGAUAUAAUGUAUGAGCCAUAAGUAUAAAUUCCAAACAAGUAUGUUUACUUUCAAAUUAACUAGAAUUAUUGAAAUAGAAACGAUUAAUAAAACUUGUAACAUAUAUAGUUUAUAACUUGCCAUUUUGAUAGUGUAAAUGAAUUAAUAUAUCUCAAAGUUUCAAUCUAUUUGAG